GUCCAGAGAGUGACCCGGAGUGUGUUUGAUUAUUAUUAAUUUGUUUUAAACGCACUAAGGCCUUAAACUAAGCUAAUUGGCGCUUGUGCUUUUGCCGCAGUUAGACGGCUGAGCACACACCGCUUCUCCUUCAUCUCGUAAGAUAUGAUGCAUAUAUACACUGGUGAAUUUUAUAUCCUCUCUCUCCAAAAUGUUUUAUUUCAGCAGCAAGAAAACUUGUUUGUUGUCAAAAGUGGAAUGUUAGUUGUACCACUCAUGUUACUAUGGCAACCUGUAAUAGGAACACCUAACUGCGACUUCAUAGUACAGUGACUGGUGACUUGCAGUGAUAAAAUUGCUGUAUGUGUGAAGGCAGCAUUAUGCAGCGCAGUGUCCGUCACAUAUUAGAAGAUCUUUACAGAGGAAGCUGACAGUCGCAUCAUUGACAUCAUGUUUCUAGUUUCGUGCUCGGCCACGGUUAGCGAUCACACUAGAUGUGUACCGUGCGUGAUUCCAACUCUUCAAGCGGGCCUGGGCAUGGUAUGGAGCGAUCACCACCAAACUGGACUUUGGGGGUCAAACGUGCUCGGGCACGUUACCAAUCAUCUAGUGUGGAUCAGUUUAUUAACCUUCUCAAAGGGCAAGGAGUUAACCUGGACGACCGCAGUCUGGAACCAAGGAGGGGAACACACCUCAACUCACGAUCGAUUCACUGAACUGUUCCUCCACGUCUUCGACCACGCUCCAGAAGGAGGUGGGAGGAAACCAGAGAACCCAGAGGAAACCCACAUGGACAUGGGGAGAACAAGCACAGAAACUCCACACAGACAGAAGCCCGAGCUCAGGACUGAAGCGGGGACCCUGGAGCUGUGAGGAGACAACGCUACCCACUGCAUCACCACACUGCUCAUAGAUCCACAGAGUUCCCCUUUUGUAUAGAUGGUAAUGAAUCAAAAACAGUACAGCUGUGUAACGCUAAACUGGAAAUUAGCUGAUAUUAUUAUUUGAAAUCAAUUUAUUCAUUAUUAUUUAUUUACUGAAUUAAUUUUUUUGAAUUUUGUCAAAGUAAUGAAAGUGUCACAGUUCAGUCCACAUCGACCGCGCUUGAGUUUUGGAAGGCAUGCAACUUAAAAAAAACAAAAACUCUCUCUCUAUGUAUAUAUGUAUGUGUGUAAUAAUGCAAAGUGUAAUAGAAAAGUCAUUUACUUGUAACUGUCACGUCUUCAUUCUGGUCUUAGCUGUAAAUAGAUGCGUGUGAAUUUCACACCUUUUUCUGCUGUCUCUCAUAUAAAAUGCAGGAAGUGAAGAUGGUCACUGACAGAGGGACAGCAGAAAAAGGUGUGAAAUUCACACACAUCUAUUUACAGCUAAGACCAGAAUGAAGAAGUGACGUACAGGUUACAGGAAAAUAGGCUACUUAUCAAAAAAAUUUGAGCUUGAUCUCUUGUACAUCGUUUUAUAAUCGAAGUAUUGGACGAAUUAAAUUAAUCUUUGUAUCUAAUCUUUAUAUCUUUGUAUUUAAUCUCUUAAUAUUUAUGUGUAAUAAUUAGAAUAAUUGACUAUUAUUAAUGUCUUAAUAAUGUGAGAUUAAUCUGAAAAUAAACGAAAGACAUACAAUACAGUUUAGUGUAAUUGUGCAGUUGUCAACAGCCGGGGCGUCGCUAAACCCUUUUUACUGGGACACGAGUCUUUUUGAAGUGAUUUGUUCAUUUAGGAGGCUGGUUAGUUAGUUCACUCAUAAAAAUGUUAAUCAAACACACCUGCCUGUAAUUUUCUGCGUUUAAAUCUUUGGAUAGAUGUUUCAGGUGUGUGAUUAGGGAUGGAGUUAAACUCUGCAGGACAGUGCAGUGGCCCUCAGGACCGGAAUCGCCCAUCCCUGGUUUAGGAGAUAAUUUCACAGUUUCAGUGGCUCCAUUAUAUUGUCUGGUAUUUGUGUAAAUAAAACAUAAUGAAUUUGUUUUUGGGGACUAGGUUUCUGAUGGACUAGGAUUGGAGAGGAAGGAUUUUAAAUGUAAUGAUAAUGUUUAUAUAUUUGUUGUUUUAUAUACAGGUUAUUUCAAAAGUCACUACUGUAUUAUUGUGAUGGGAUUUCAGGUGCCAGCUUUUUAUUUCAAAAAAUCAUUUCUUCUCUUGUCUUUUUGAACAGAGUGUAUAUCUAUGUGUGUUUAUUUCAGGAGUUUUAAUAGAAAUGAGGUAUAGUAAAUAUCAAAUAAAAUGUAAACUUGCAUUGAUGAA